GCAGGACAAUAUCUGGGUAUGGUAGACCCUCAAACAAUUAAUGGAAAGAAGAAAAAAUCACAGCUACUCAAAAAAUAAUUCUUGUAGGGUGAAGCUUACCCGUUUGAAACAGAAGAGACUUAAAAGAGACCAAGAACCUGAAAAUAUGGCAAGUUAGCCUCUUUUUCCAAAAUUUUUCUGGGCAAGGAGGCUUGAAAGAGAGAGAAAAAAAAAAAAGAAAACAU
rnacentral:misc_RNA from 1 species